GAACGCGAAGAACCUUACCAAGUCUUGACAUCCUUUGAUCACUCUAGAGAUAGAGCUUUCCCUUCGGGGACAAAGUGACAGGUGGUGCAUGGUUGUCGUCAGCUCGUGUCGUGAGAUGUUGGGUUAAGUCCCGCAACGAGCGCAACCCUUAUUACUAGUUGCCAGCAUUGAGUUGGGCACUCUAGUGAGACUGCCGGUGACAAACCGGAGGAAGGUGGGGAUGACGUCAAAUCAUCAUGCCCCUUAUGACUUGGGCUACACACGUGCUACAAUGGAUGGUACAACGAGCAGCGAACUCGCGAGGGUAAGCGAAUCUCUUAAAGCCAUUCUCAGUUCGGAUUGUAGGCUGCAACUCGCCUACAUGAAGCCGGAAUCGCUAGUAAUCGCGGAUCAGCACGCCGCGGUGAAUACGUUCCCGGGUCUUGUACACACC
rnacentral:rRNA from 1 species